rnacentral:rRNA from 1 species
CACGGGGGGAGCAAGCGUUGUUCGGAAUUACUGGGCGUAAAGGGCGUCUAGGCGGAUAGGUAAGUGGGAUGUGAAAUCCCUCGGCUCACCCGAGGACCUGCACCUCAAACUGCCUGUCUUGAGUAUGGGAGAGGAUGAGGGAAUUCCUGGUGUAGCGGUGAAAUGCGUAGAUAUCAGGAGGAACACCGGUGGCGAAGGCGCUCAUCUGGCCCAAUACUGACGCUGAAGCGCGAAAGCUAGGGGAGCAAACGGG